rnacentral:rRNA from 1 species
GCAAGUCGAGCGAACGGACGAGAAGCUUGCUUCUCUGAUGUUAGCGGCGGACGGGUGAGUAACACGUGGAUAACCUACCUAUAAGACUGGGAUAACUUCGGGAAACCGGAGCUAAUACCGGAUAAUAUUUUGAACCGCAUGGUUCAAAAGUGAAAGACGGUCUUGCUGUCACUUAUAGAUGGAUCCGCGCUGCAUUAGCUAGUUGGUAAGGUAACGGCUUACCAAGGCAACGAUGCAUAGCCGACCUGAGAGGGUGAUCGGCCACACUGGAACUGAGACACGGUCCAGACUCCUACGGGAGGCAGCAGUAGGGAAUCUUCCGCAAUGGGCGAAAGCCUGACGGAGCAACGCCGCGUGAGUGAUGAAGGUCUUCGGAUCGUAAAACUCUGUUAUUAGGGAAGAACAUAUGUGUAAGUAACUGUGCACAUCUUGACGGUACCUAAUCAGAAAGCCACGGCUAACUACGUGCCAGCAGCCGCGGUAAUACGUAGGUGGCAAGCGUUAUCCGGAAUUAUUGGGCGUAAAGCGCGCGUAGGCGGUUCUUUAAGUCUGAUGUGAAAGCCCACGGCUCAACCGUGGAGGGUCAUUGGAAACUGGAAAACUUGAGUGCAGAAGGGGAAAGUGGAAUUCCAUGUGUAGCGGUGAAAUGCGCAGAGAUAUGGAGGAACACCAGUGGCGAAGGCGACUUUCUGGUCUGUAACUGACGCUGAUGUGCGAAAGCGUGGGGAUCAAAC